rnacentral:rRNA from 1 species
CCGAAUUCGUCGACAACAGAGUUUGAUCCUGGCUCAGAUUGAACGCUGGCGGCAGGCCUAACACAUGCAAGUCGAGCGGAUGAGAGGAGCUUGCUCUUCGAUUCAGCGGCGGACGGGUGAGUAAUGCCUAGGAAUCUGCCUAGUAGUGGGGGACAACGUUUCGAAAGGAACGCUAAUACCGCAUACGUCCUACGGGAGAAAGUGGGGGAUCUUCGGACCUCACGCUAUUAGAUGAGCCUAGGUCGGAUUAGCUAGUUGGUAGGGUAAAGGCCUACCAAGGCGACGAUCCGUAACUGGUCUGAGAGGAUGAUCAGUCACACUGGAACUGAGACACGGUCCAGACUCCCACGGGAGGCAGCAGUGGGGAAUAUUGGACAAUGGGCGAAAGCCUGAUCCAGCCAUGCCGCGUGUGUGAAGAAGGCCUUCGGGUCGUAAAGCACUUUAAGUUGGGAGGAAGGGCUCAUAGCGAAUACCUGUGAGUUUUGACGUUACCAACAGAAUAAGCACCGGCUAACUUCGUGCCAGCAGCCGCGGUAAUACGAAGGGUGCAAGCGGUUAAUCGGAAUUACUGGGCGUAAAGCGCCGCGUUAGGUGGCUUGAUAAGUUNGGAUUGUGAAAAUCCCCGGGGCUCAACCUGGGAACUGCAUCCAAAACUGUCUGGCUAGAGUGCGGUAGAGGGUAGUGRAAUUYCCAGUGUAGSGGUGAAAUSCGUAGAUAUUGGAAGGAACACCAGUGGCGAAGGCGACUMCCUGGACUGACACUGACACUGAGGUGCGAAAGCGUGGGGAGCAAACGGGAUUAGAUACCCUGGUAGUCCACGCCGUAAACGAUGUCAACUAGCCGUUGGGAUCCUUGAGAUCUUAGUGGCGCCACUAACGCAUUAAGUUGACCGCCUGGGGAGUACGGCCGCAAGGUUAAAACUCAAAUGAAUUGACGGGGGGCCGCACAAGCGGUGGAGCAUGUGGUUUAAUUCGAAGCAACGCGAAGAACCUUACCUGGCCUUGACAUGCUGAGAACUUUCCAGAGAUGGAAUUGGUGCCUUCGGGAAACUCAGACCACAGGUGCUGCAUGGCUGUCGUCAGCUUCGUGUCGUGAGAAUGUUGGGUUAAGUCCCGUAACGAGCGCAACCCUUGUCCUUAGUUACCAGCACGUUAUGGUGGGCACUCUAAGGAGACUGCCGGUGACAAACCGGAGGAAGGUGGGGAUGACGUCAAGUCAUCAUGGCCCUUACGGCCAGGGCUACACACGUGCUACAAUGGUCGGUACAAAGGGUUGCCAAGCCGCGAGGUGGAGCUAAUCCCAUAAGACCGAUCGUAGUCCGGAUCGCAGUCUGCAACUCGACUGCGUGAAGUCGGAAUCGCUAGUAAUCGUGAAUCAGAACGUCACGGUGAAUACGUUCCCGGGCCUUGUACACACCGCCCGUCACACCAUGGGAGUGGGUUGCUCCAGAAGUAGCUAGUCUAACCCUCGGGAGGACGGUUACCACGGAGUGAUUCAUGACUGGGGUGAAGUCGUAACAAGGUAGCCGUAGGGGAACCUGCGGCUGGAUCACCUCCUUAAGCUUGGAUCCCGGG